rnacentral:rRNA from 1 species
UACGUAGGGUGCAAGCGUUAAUCGGAAUUACUGGGCGUAAAGCGUGCGCAGGCGGUUGUGCAAGACAGAUGUGAAAUCCCCGGGCUCAACCUGGGAACUGCAUUUGUGACUGCACAGCUAGAGUACGGCAGAGGGGGAUGGAAUUCCGCGUGUAGCAGUGAAAUGCGUAGAUAUGCGGAGGAACACCGAUGGCGAAGGCAAUCCCCUGGGCCUGUACUGACGCUCAUGCACGAAAGCGUGGGGAGCAAACAGG